GACAGAGGGUGCAAACGUUGUUCGGAAUUACUGGGCGUAAAGCGCGUGUAGGCGGCUCGGCAAGUCGGGUGUGAAAGCCCUGGGCUUAACCUAGGAAGUGCACUCGAAACUGCCAAGCUUGAGUUCUGGAGAGGAAGGCGGAAUUCUCGGUGUAGAGGUGAAAUUCGUAGAUAUCGAGAGGAACACCGGUGGCGAAGGCGGCCUUCUGGACAGCAACUGACGCUGAGACGCGAAAGCGUGGGGAGCAAACAGGGAUUCAAGAUACCCGUAGUAAGUCCAUGACCA
rnacentral:rRNA from 1 species